rnacentral:rRNA from 1 species
GACAGAGGUGCCAAGCGUUAGGCGGAAUCACUGGGCUUAAAGCGUGUGUAGGCGGAUCGUUAAGUACCUUGUGAAAUCCCACGGCUCAACCGUGGAACUGCUGGGUAUACUGGCGAUCUUGAGCCACCUAGGGGCGAGCGGAACAAGCGGUGGAGCGGUGAAAUGCGUAGAUAUCAUUUGGAACGCCAAUGGUGAAAACAGGUAGCUGGGAGUGUGCUGACGCUGAGACACGAAAGCCAGGGGAGCAAACGGG